rnacentral:rRNA from 1 species
UGAGGAAUAUUGGUCAAUGGGCGUAAGCCUGAACCAGCCAAGUCGCGUGAGGGAUGAAGGUUCUAUGGAUCGUAAACCUCUUUUAUAAGGGAAUAAAGUGUGGGACGUGUCCUGUUUUGUAUGUACCUUAUGAAUAAGGAUCGGCUAACUCCGUGCCAGCAGCCGCGGUAAUACGGAGGAUCCGAGCGUUAUCCGGAUUUAUUGGGUUUAAAGGGUGCGUAGGCGGCCUUUUAAGUCAGCGGUGAAAGUCUGUGGCUCAACCAUAGAAUUGCCGUUGAAACUGGGAGGCUUGAGUAUGUUUGAGGCAGGCGGAAUGCGUGGUGUAGCGGUGAAAUGCUUAGAUAUCACGCAGAACCCCGAUUGCGAAGGCAGCCUGCCAAGCCAUGACUGACGCUGAUGCACGAAAGCGUGGGGAUCAAACAGGAUUAGAUACCCUGGUAGUCCACGCAGUAAACGAUGAUCACUAGCUGUUUGCGAUACACUGUAAGCGGCACAGCGAAAGCGUUAAGUGAUCCACCUGGGGAGUACGCCGGCAACGAUGAAACUCAAAGGAAUUGACGGGGGCCCGCACAAGCGGAGGAACAUGUGGUUUAAUUCGAUGAUACGCGAGGAACCUUACCCGGGUUUGAACGCAUUCGGACCGAGGUGGAAACACCUUUUCUAGCAAUAGCCGUUUGCGAGGUGCUGCAUGGUUGUCGUCAGCUCGUGCCGUGAGGUGUCGGCUUAAGUGCCAUAACGAGCGCAACCCUUGCCACUAGUUACUAACAGGUGAUGCUGAGGACUCUGGUGGGACUGCCAGCGUAAGCUGCGAGGAAGGCGGGGAUGACGUCAAAUCAGCACGGCCCUUACAUCCGGGGCGACACACGUGUUACAAUGGCGUGGACAAAGGGAGGCCACCUGGCGACAGGGAGCGAAUCCCCAAACCACGUCUCAGUUCGGAUCGGAGUCUGCAACCCGACUCCGUGAAGCUGGAUUCGCUAGUAAUCGCGCAUCAGCCAUGGCGCGGUGAAUACGUUCCC